UACAGAUGCUCAUUUGCCCCCAACAUAGUGUCACCAGGUGAGACCAGGGGCCCUAAGCCCACCAAUUUGCUCCUGCCUCAUGGCAGGGGAGCAAAGGACUGGCCUUACCCAACUCAGGCGCAGCCUGGCUUUUCUCACUUUUCUAGGCUUCUGUUUUUCCCCACUUCGGGAGGGCAUUGUUCCAGCUGCAUCCCUUUCCAUCUUCCCUUUUGAACUUAUGACCACUCACCUCCAACUGCCACCACGGACCUUGCCAUAGACUACGAAGAUUCAGGGAAAGUGGGUUUGCACCACAAGUGUAGACAGUGUCUGCUUCUAGCCUUGGGGGAGCAGUCCCAGAGACGGUCUCAGCCAUCCUGAGGUAAGGGAAAUGGCCAGCAACAACCGGAAGAGGAAAGGGGAGCAUAAAGAUUGAAGGCAUCACUUGACACAUAUCAGGAGAAAAGUAGGGACCUGUCUCAGCUUUGAAGAAUUGACCCUGCAGCCUGGGGAAUGUCCCAUGUAUUUUUAUCUGAAAGUAUUGGCAAAGUCAGAAAACUGACCUCUGUCUUGUUUCUCAGACUUUAAGGAAUAUUAAAGUAAAACAUAUAUUUAUAUAUUACAAUAUAUUUUAUAGCAUGUAAUACAAUAUUUUAUAUAUAUUUGCCUUGGGAGGGAAUUUAGAGGUCACACAAUUUGUCUCCCUGUUAGUUUGUCUGGGUGUAGUAUAUACUUUAAAAUGCUUAAGCAUUAAUAAUGUGAUAUACACAUGCAUACAUAACUGAAUGUACACAGGGACAGCAGCUCUUUUGCAUUUGGAGUACCUAAGAAUCCACAGUCCAGAGGUGGUGACAAAGCAUCUCAAAAGUAGUUAUCAAAAUUACACCAGAGGGUUGAUUAAUUUGCAUGAGGGGUGUUUGAAAUAAAUUCUCACUGGUGAAAUAAGUGCUGCUCAAGCUCUGUGGCUGGCUAGAGGCAAUGUACAGUAACUGUUGCCUCUGCGCCAAUGAGGAAUAAGAAUCCGGUCCCCUCUUCAUGAGAUUAUCAUGGGAUGGACCAGGACAUGGGCUGCUCCUUCCGAAUGUUGUUGCCCCUGCUCAACCUUUCACACAAGCUGUGUGUCCAAGUGUCUGAGGACAGAGUGGGACUUUCCGAAGCUUAAAAGCUGUUUUGUGUAGAUUUGCCAGGGUGUGUGUCUGGCUGGCAGAAUUUCCCCGAGUCGCUUUCUUUGGAACAUCCCACCUAAUGGUGAGUUUUAGGGGAGGGCUCCAUGGCCCCUGACUGCCUGAGGCUGCCCAUAUUUACCAGAAGAACCCGACGAACAGUUGCACUGGCUAGGUCAGGUCACUCUACCCCUCAGUGUGCAGAUGAGGAAACUGAGGCUGAGAGUAAGAGCAGAGUAUCAGUAGGAAGCAGCACUUUCGGCUCCUGGACCAGGGCUGCCAGUGCAGGUCAGAGCUUCUCAAGCUCUUUAGGAUGAAGGACCAGUUUUUUCCCUCCAAUCUGUCACAAACCAAAAACUGUUGUGAAUUAGAAUAAAUUGACUGAAAACUGUCUUAGUCACCUACUGUCUUGGUCAAUGAUAGAAACAUUUAUUUCUCACUGUUCUAGAGGCUGGGAAAUCCAAGAUCAAGGCCGGCAGAUUCAGUGUCCAGGGAGGACAGCCACCUUCUUGCUGCGUCCUCACAGCUGUGUGGUGGAGAGAGUGAGCGCUGGUCUCUAUCUUCUUAGAAGGGCACUAAUCCCAUUGUGGGAACCCCCCCCUCAUGACCUCAUCUAAACCAAUUAUCUGCCAAACGUCCCAUCUCCAAAGACCAUCACUUUGCGGGGUAGCACUUCAACAUAUGGAUUUUGAGGGGAAAUAAACAUUCAGUCCAUGGCACUGAUGUACUAGGAAAAUGAAAUAAUAGUUAAAAAAAAAGACGUACCAAACGCAACCCCCUUUUAUUAAAUAGACUUUAUUUUUUUAGAGCAGUUUUAGGUUUACAGCAAAAUUGAGCAGAAAGUAGACUUCUCAUAUACCUCCUGUCUCCCCCAAGUACAGUCUCCCCCACUAUCAUGAUCUCGCAGCAGAGUGAUAUAUUUAUUACAAUCAGUGAACCUACAUUGACACACCAUUAUCACCCAAAGUCCGUAGUUUGUAUUAGCGUUCGCUUUUGGUGUUGUACAUUCUGUGGGUUUUAACAAAUGAAUCAUGACAUGUAUCCACCAUUGUCGUAUCAGACAGAAGAGUUUCACUGUCAUAGACAUGUUCUGGGCUCUGCCUGUUCAUCCCUCCCUUCCAGCAACCCUUGGCAAUCGCUGAUCCUUUUACUGUCUCCAGAGUUUUGCCUUUUCCGGAAGGUCCUAUGGUUGGGAUCAUACAGUAUUUGCCUUUCCAGACUGGCUUCUUUCACUUAGUCAUAUGCAUGUAAGUUUCCUCCACGUCUUUCCAUGGCUUGAUAGCUCAUUCAAAACCCUUUUUAAAUUAUUAGAUUCAGAAGUUAUAGUGGUACUCUAUCUAGUUAGCAUUUCAAAACACCCUCAUUUUCUGUUGCCCUCGUCAGGGACCAGGAACAUAGCAUAAAGAGUUCUUGGCCUGGUCUGCGGCACACACUUGGAGUGGUGGUGGCCGGGGUUUCCAUUCCAGCCUGAGUUUCCCAGUUUCAUCUGAGCCCUGAGUCCAUUCUGUGUGCUCAGCCAUGGGGACAUUGGUGAAGAAGACUGGGACAGGGAGGGCAGCCAGACACCCUUCCCUCUGCACCCACGUGUCUCCGAGGGAGCCCGACAGCUGAGGCUCCCCUCACAGAGAAGUGCACCCCUCAACGGGCCAGGCUUUGGCGAGUCGCUCAGGAUUAGGAAGAAGGGGCAGAGGAAAGAGGCAGCUGUUGCUUCCACCCAGCGGGAGAGGAACUGGGGCAACAGAACAGAGGAACCCAUGUCCACGUCCCCCAGGGAGGGCAGGAUGCAGAAGAGAACAAUGAAGGCUGGGGGGGGAAGGGCUGGUCAAGGGCAUCUUUGUUUACGGGGUUUUCCUCCUUGGGGCCUCUGCAAGGGAAGCCAAGUCUGGGGCCAAAAGGCACCACAUUUCUUCCAUUUCUCUCUCUCUGCCCCAGCCUUCAUCCUGUCAUUCAUUCAGUGGGUAUUUAUUGAGCUACAGAGGACCAGGCAGCGGGCCAGGUGCUGCAGAGAGAAUGCUGAGCAGGGAGAGGGAGACAGACAAAAAAAGUAUAUAAAUAAUAAAUGCAAAGUUACUUUUCUCUUGGCUGCUGCUGAACUGCUCCUAGGCCCACAGAGGGAAGAGGAGCUAGGCUCUGUCUUGGUUGACUUUGAAGACCCGAGGGCCUGGUCCUGAUUUCUCAGAGGGCUGGUUUGAAGGAAUUCCUUAUCCCUGAUUGUGACACAGGUCCUGUCGUGGAUGCCCCAGGGCGAAGCUCUGCAGACCUGGGCUGUGGCAGCAGGCGGUCACCAUCUUGGGAAUUGUUAAAGAAAAAUUAUCCACGACAUUAGUUAAAGAAAGGAAGACUUUAUUCAAGAAGGAGCUACUGCAGUGAGGUUUUGCAAUAGGGGAGAGAGAUUGGGCUCAACCCUGAGUACAACAAGGACAAGUGGAGAUUUAUAGCUAAGGAGCAGGGUGGGGUCAGCAGAUGGAAAAUGAGUAAGAGGAAACUUGAGGGCUAGGGGACUUUGUUACUACACAAAGAUGGGCUUCUCCUGCCCAACGUGCUUUAAAAAAGCCAGUUAUUACUGCGUUAGCUUUUGAGAGAAUGCAGCUUUAUUGUGAGGUUGCUCUGCAAGGAGACAGGAGACAAUGCUCUCAAAUCUGUCUCCCUGAUCCACGGUUGGGAUAAAAUUUAUGGGACGAAGGGCAAGGCAGUCUGAAGUGUGGAGAUAGAUGAUUGGAGGGGAGGGGAAGUGAGGUAAUUCAUGACCUGUGCAAGCGUAGUCAAGCUUCAUGGCUCUUCAUAGGACGCGUGUUCACAAAAUGGCGGCAUUACCAUGAUCUGAGGGGGUAGUUUUUAGCUUCUUGAUGUCAAAGGGUCACCUACCAGUCAUCUUUGCAGGCCCAGUUGAUGAGUAGGUAGUCUUAACCAGCCUGAACUGGACAAGGAGUUGACUCCUAGUUCCUGAAAAACUUGAGCACCUGUUACCAUGGUGACCCAAGCCUGAGAGAUGUUAUCUAUAGGGUGGGCUUAGUAGUGCAUUAUCUAACUACUUCUGCAAACAGACAACUAACUGCAUAUAGUUAAAGCAAGUUGGCCCCUAGUUUCAGAUUCUUGCUAGACCAACUAAACAGGAUUCUUGCUGAAGGCAGGACAGGGUGAUAAGAUACCAAAGGUGGGGGAUUUUCACUAAACUGAUCCAGCAGAAUUCUUGUUAAAAUUGGACUAAACAGGCCACAGACAGAGCCCAAGGGCCCAGGUCUGGUCAGAAAGAGGACUGACUCGGAGCUGCUGGGCUCAAGUUUGAUCAAAGAGAGAGUCUUUGUCAGAAUCUGACGAGCACCUCUUCUGAGCAGGUACCUCUCACCAGACUGUGUCCUUGGCCUCAGGCAUGUCACCAUCUCAGCAGGGAUGGUCUUUUUAUUCCAACAACCAGAGGAUCCCUUGUGUUUUGCCCAAGCAAAGAAGCUAGCGCCAAAAUUCAGGAUGAAUCAUCGUUCCUCUCUUGCAAAGUGACUGUUAGCUCCCAAAUAUACGGAGGCUUUCCCAGCGUCUUUUAGAUGCUGUGCGUGAAUUCUGGUCCAAAAGAAGCAUUUCCUAGUGGGAGUGGGGAGACAUGUCAGGCAGGAAAGGAUCCGAGCAAGGAGGGUUACUGGAAUUAGUUUGCUCUGGUAGGAGCUUUUUCUUCCACUGCCCUUGUGUCUCCUUGGUGGAGGCAAGCAGGUCUCAACAAUAAUCAUAGACCACAAUAUUAGAGGUGUCAGGGAUGGAGGCCCGCCUCCUCAUUUUAUAGAUGAGGAGCCCAGCAUCCAGAGAGGUAAACUGAUGUGCUUAAGAUCCUACAAGCUGCAAAUGUCAGAGUGCUAGGACUUCAUUUAUGUCUUCUGCCUUCUGUCAUAACAGACUGCUGCUUCUUCCCUGAAUUGCUGCAACGUGGAACUGUGGGAGGCAAAGGAAACACUCCACAGGAACUCAUAAGGAAUUGAAACAUUCACACCGAUGCAUCACUUAAAAAUAAUAAUAAUGACUAACACUUAUUGUGAGCCCUUCCUGAGCUGUCUUAUUAACUUAGUUCAGGUUUUUUUAAUGUGGACUACGAAGUUACAGUCGUGCACCAUGUGACGAUGUUCCAGUCAAUGAUGGACCACGUAUACAACGGUGGUCCCAUAAGAUUAUAACGGAACUGAAAAAUUUCUAUUCCUAGCGACGUCCUAGCCAUUGUAACGUUGGAGCGCAAUGCAUUGCUCAUGUGUUUGUGGUGAUGCUGGUGUAAACAAAUCUACAGGUUCUUCAGGAGGUGCUCCGGAAGGAGGCAUCGUUAUCAUAGAAGAGGACAGCUCUACGCAAGUUAUUGCCUCUGAAGACCUUCCACUGGGACAACCUGCGGAGGUGGAAGAGAGUGAUAGCGAUGAUCCCAACCCUGUGUAGGCCUAGGCUAAUGUGUGUGUCUUAGUUUUUAACAAAAAAGUUUAAAAAGUAAAAAAAAAAAAAUUUUAAAACUAGAGAAUCUUAUAGAACAAGGAUAUAAAGAAAGAGACUAUUUUUGUACAGCCGUACAAUGUAUUUGUGUUUUAAGCUGUGUUACUACAAAAGAAUCAGAAAGUUAAAAAAUUUAAAAAUUUAUAAAGUAAAAAAGUUACAGUAAGCUGUGGUUAACUUAUUAUGAAGAAAAAGAUAUUUUAAAAAUAAAUUGAGCGUAGCCUAAGUGUACAGUGUUUAUGAAGUCUACAGGAGGGUCCAGUGAUGUCCGAGGACUUCACGUCACUCACUGACUCACCCAGAGCAGCUUCCUGUCCUGCCAGUUCCAUCCAUUUAAGAGCCCUCUAUGGGUGUACCAUUUUUUAUCUUUGAUCCCAAAUUUUCACUGUACCUUUUCUAUGCUUAGAUGUGUUUAGAUACACAAAUACUUACCACUGUGUUUCAGUUGCCUGCAGUAUUCAGCACAGUAACAUGCUGUGCAGGUUUGCAGUCUGGAGCAGUGGGCUAUAGUAUGUAGCCUAGGCGUGUGGCAGGCUGCGCCAGCUAGGUUUGUUUACGCGCACUCUCUGAUGUUUGCACAGCGAUGAAAUCUCCAACGGGUCUUCAGUGCUGUGGAAUAUUUUAUAGAGCAUUGGGUCACCUGGUCUUUGAAGGCACGGUAGAAUUUCUUGUGAAAGUACCUGGGUCUGGUGCUUUUGUGUGGGGUAGUUCCUUAAUAAAUUUCUCUAUUUCUUCUAUGGAAUUGGUCUGUUAAACUUUCUAAUUCUAAUGGGGGGUCAUUUUUGGAAAUUUUUGUCUUCCUGGGAAAUUGUCUGUUUCACCUAGUUUUUCAAGUUUGUUUUCAUAGAAGUCCGUACAGUUGUUUCUUACAAUUAAAAACUUUCUUUUGUUCCAAUGGUUAUUUCCCCCUCAUCAUUUUAAAUUUUGUAUAUUUGUAUUUUCUCCUAUUUUUUUCUUGAUUGGGUUAGCCAAUGAUUUGUUUUAAUUGUUUUUUGAAACAGGAUUUUAUUUAUUAAUUACAUCUACUAUUUUUCUAUUCUCUUUCUCAAUAAUUUCUGCUUUUAUCUUUAUUAUUUUCUUUUUGGUGCUUUCUUUUGGCUUACUUUGCUGUUUUUUAAAUAAUGUUUUGAACUGGAAAUUGAAUUCAUUUCAUUUUAUUUCUUUAUUUUCAUGGAUAAACCUGUUAAGUGCAAUGGAUUUUCUUAUCACGGCUUUUUUU
ensembl:lncRNA